rnacentral:rRNA from 1 species
AUGGCCCACUGCUUUUGGGACAAUUAUGAGGGUCACCAUAAGUACCAUCUUGCCAACUGGGGCUUGGUGACCCAGAAAAAACAAUAUGGAGGCUUAGGGAUUCCAAAUAUUGCUGAGAUGAACUUAAGUCUACUAGCCUCCUGGGUUUCUAACUCUUCCCCUUUUUGGAAAGGGGUGUUAUGGGCUGCUAAAGCAGCCAAGCAAGGGUAUCAAUGGAAGGUGGGCAAUGGGAAGAGAGUUAAAUUUUGGGAAGAUCAUUGGUUUGGGUCAUGUAGCUUGGCUAUUCAGUUUUGGGAAUUGUAUAGUAUUGCUAAUGAGCAUAAUCAAGCUAUUGCUGACCUUUGGGAUGGUAGUAACCUUAAGAUCACUUUUAGGAGAUGUAUUGAUAACAGAUUGCUUCUCCUGUGGUAUGACAUGCUGAAUAUUGUGCAGUCUGUGACUUUCAAUGAUGAUGAGGAUGCAUUAAUCUGGAAGCUAGAGGCUGGUGGUGUUUAUUCUGUUAGAUCUAUGUAUGCCAUGGUCAAUUUUAGGGGCAUUAGCCCAAUUCAUAUUCCUGACAUUUGGAAAAUUCAUGUCCCUCCCAAUAUCCACAUUUUUUAUGGCUGCUUGCUCAUAACAAAAUACUGGUUAGGGAGAACCUUGCUAAGAGACAAAACUUAA